UACGAAGGGGGCGAGCGUUGUUCGGAAUUACUGGGCGUAAAGGGCGCGCAGGCGGCUCAUUUUGUCAGGCGUGAAGCCCCGGCUUGAACCUGGGAGGUGCGUUUGAUACGGAUGGGCUGGAGUUCGGGAGAGGAGAGCGGAAUUCCCGAGUGUAGAGGUGGAAAUUCGAUAGAUAUUGGGAAGAACACCGGUGGCGAAGGCGGCUCUCUGGACCGAUACUGACGCUGAGGCGCGAAAGCGGUGGGGAGCAAACAGGG
rnacentral:rRNA from 1 species